CCUGCACUUCGAACCGGCUCCGUAUGGAGUGCUUGCCACGGUAACCCAUGGCUAGAAUGCAGGAUCGCA
rnacentral:ncRNA from 1 species